UAAAGGUUUGGGCCUGGCCUUCUUAUUGAUUAAUAGUAAAAUUACACAUGCAAGCAUCCACGAUCCUGUGAGAAUGCCCUCUAUGUCACACUGACAAAAAGGAGUAGGUAUCAAGUUCACUUUAUAGUAGCUCAAAACACCUUGCUAAACCACACCCCCACGGGAUACAGCAGUGAUUAAAAUUAAGUUAUAAACGAAAGUUUGACUAAGCUAUACUAUUAACAGGGUUGGUAAAUUUCGUGCCAGCCACCGCGGUCAUACGAUUAACCCAAAUUAAUAAGCUUCGGCGUAAAGAGUGUUUUAGAGUUAACUUAUAAUAAGGUUAAAUUUUAUCUAAGCCGUAAAAAGCCCUAGCUAAAGGAAAAAUAAUACACGAAAGUCACCUUAUAAAAAUCUGAAUACACGAUAGCUAAGACCCAAACUGAGAUUAGAUACCUCACUAUGCUUAGCCAUAAACAAAAAUAACUAAUAACACAGUUAUUCGCCAGAGAACUACAAGCCACAGCUCAAAACUCAAAGGACUUGGCGGUGCUUUACAUCCCUCUAGAGGAGCCUGUUCUAUAAUCGAUAAACCCCGAUAAACCUCACCUCUUCUUGCCACCACAGCUUAUAUACCGCCAUCUUCAGCAAACCUUCACAAGGUACCCAAGUAAGCACAAAUAUCAACAUAAAAACGUUAGGUCAAGGUGUAGCCUAUGAAGAGGAAAGAAAUGGGCUACAUUUCCUUUACAAGUACAUCACGUAAACUCUUAUGAAAUUAAAAGUAUAAGGAGGAUUUAGCAGUAAGCUAUGAAUAGAGAGCCUAGCUGAAUAGGGCCAUGAAG
rnacentral:ncRNA from 1 species